CACUGACAGACACAUAUACACUGUGUCAUAAACACACAUUCACUGUCAGACACAUACACUAACAGACAUACACACUCACUAACAGACACAUACAGUCACUUUUUUUUUUUUUUCCUCAAUACCCCAGCCUCCUUACCUUUGAGAUUGCUGGGGUGGAUUAUCACUUUCCCUGGAGUCCAGUGGGGCUGCUGGGCGACCAGACAGUGACUGCAGUCUGCGAGGGAGCACUGAUCCUCCUGUUCAGCUCCCUCGCGCGCGGCGUAGUAAUGCCGGAGCCAGAAUGAUGUCAUAUGAACAGGAGGAUUAGUGCUCCCUCUGCCGCUGCCAGCCUAAGAAGGGCCCAAGAGGCUGGCAAGGCAUUUGCCAGGGCGAUUGGGGGGGGGCUUUUUUUUGCCACCCCCCAGAAAGUGCGGCCUCGGGGUAAAUGCACCCCUGGGCACAACUGGGUAAUCCCUAAAUCCUUGAUUGCUAGGGGUGCCUUGAGGUUUGGAAUCCACUGGGUUAAACUGUUAGUAAAAUGAACUGCAAUGCCCCCCACUUCAUCUGGAGUGUUUUCUGUGUGUUUUCAUUAAGGUUUGUUGAUGGGGAAUUAGUAAUAGAUUGAGAGUGUCAACUGAAGUUUUCAUGCUAUCAGCAAUGCCUGGUCCAAGGCUUCCUGAAUGAAGUCUUGGACCUUCAGAGAAAGUGGAGGGGCAGAGCAAUUGUGCAUCCUCUUCCAGACUGAGGUUAAACCUUAUAACAGUUUAACCCCUUAAGCUGAGAUGCCAACUGGGAACCCCUCGCACCAUAACAACUUAAUUGCAGUGAAGUUAUUUUGCCUAUUGUGGUCAUUUAACCCCUUAAGGACCAAACUUCUGGAAUAAAAGGGAAUCAUGACAUGUCACACAUGUCAUGUGUCCUUAAGGGGUUAAGCUUGUGGAAGUGCUGUAGGGCACGGGAGAGUCAUUUUAAAUCUAAAGAUUUGGAAAAGCGAUUAUUCAUUUCCACAAUGGUCUUUUUCGAAUAUACCUAUGCAUUCAAGUGUUUGAUUUGUGGUAAGUAAAAAAAAAAAAAAGUGUCUGCAUUAUAAAGGGUAGCAGUUAUAAAGAGGAGUAAAUUAUCCACAUGUUAAACAUGAUUUCCCAAUAACUAGAAAGCAAGACAAACUGAACUGAAGCUGCACUGCACAAAAAAGAACAUAUGUCCAUAUUAAAAACAAUGUUACUAAUAUACAGUCGUUUAUUCCCUAAACUGGGAUUUGUGGAGCAUUAAGGGACUUGCACAAUUUAUAACACCAAUAUAAAAAGGUAUUCCUAACCUUUAUGGACUAAAUUUCCAUUUUUUUUUUCAAUUAUGCACAAUGUAUUAAUCAAUAACUAUAAUAUAAGAUGUGUAUGCAAAGAGUUAAAUUCCACUUUGCUGGCUUCUUAGAAACUUUUUAAAGCUAUAUACUGCACACAAAAAAAAGAACAAAGCAAACCUGUGAUAUAUUUUUUCUCAUCUAAUACAAUCUAACCCUAUGGGAGAAAUACUUGCCAUUUGCCAUAAGCAUAUAUCUAAG